rnacentral:sRNA from 1 species
UGCAUCUGGGGCCUGCGAGGAUGAGAACCUCCGGGGGCAGGAGGUUCGACUCGAGCGAAGCGAGAGAACGUUGCGUCAGCAACGGCCCGCAGGGCGAGCCACGAA